rnacentral:rRNA from 1 species
UACGGAGGGUGCUAGCGUUGUUCGGAAUUAUUGGGCGUAAGGGCAAGUAGGUGGUCUUCCAAGUCUACUGUGAAAUCCCUGGGCUUAACCCAGGAAGUGCGGUGGAUACUGGAAGACUGGAGUACCGGAAGGGUGCGUAGAAUUCUCGGUGUAGCGGUGAAAUGCGUAGAUAUCGAGAGGAAUACCAGAGGCGAAGGCGGCGCACUGGACCGCAACUGACACUCAGGGACGAAAGCUAGGGGAGCGAAUGGG